rnacentral:rRNA from 1 species
UACAGAGGUCUCAAGCGUUGUUCGGAUUCAUUGGGCGUAAAGCGCGUGUAGGCGGCCAGAUAGGUCCGUUGUGAAAACCCGAGGCUUAACCUCGGGACGCCGACGGAAACCAUCUGGCUAGGGUCCGGAAGAGGAGAGUGGAAUUCCCGGUGUAGCGGUGAAAUGCGCAGAUAUCGGGAAGAACACCCGUGGCGAAGGCGGCUCUCUGGGACGGUACCGACGCUGAGACGCGAAAGCGUGGGGAGCGAACAGG